AGGGGGCGGUGAGGAUUAGGCGGAGGUGAAGUGAAGAAAGCGGGGGCCAAAGUUGAAAAGUGGGCCCAAAUGAGACUUAGAAGUAGAAGAGCCUUUGGCUUAUGAGAUAAAGUAAAAAAAAAGGAAAAAAUCUUGACCGUGGCCUCCUGGUUACAGGAAGGGCGAUGCGAGUGACAGAAGACAGACAUAAAGGAGGCAAGCUAAUACGCAGUGUGAUCACUGGCCAGAUGAAUGAGAAAAACUAGUCAAAAGUGGAGACAUUUAGGGAUUGCCAGAAUGGUGUGAAAAACAGUUUGAGAGCGGCGCCCGUUCCGUGGCCAGGAAUAGGGAAGGGGAUGUGUGUGGGCUUGAGACAUAGAGCUGCUGCAAGAAAGGAAGCCUCCAUUCAGGUAGAGAAAUCUGUGGGUAGAACAGGAAGAAAUAAGCUUGAAGAAGUAAAAGGAAAGACUUCGAUCCAAUGCAAGAAAGGACUUGGCAUGUGUGGGGGCUGGUGAGCCCAGAACAUCUGACUGAGACGUCGGGCUUUGCCUUCUGGGACACUUGAUCCCUUCCCCACCCUCUCCCUGUCCGGGCUGUCCUGCCUGGAAGAGAUGGGGUGCAGAGUGACGGCUAAAGAAACAAGAAAUCAAUGGAAAAAAAUACGCUAGGGUGAGGAUUAAAAAAAAAAGAAAAGAAACAUCUUCAACCAUUUUCCUAAUUCAAACCACUGCGAAACCAUCAGAAAAUAGUGCUUAAAAGGGCUAAGUUCAGAAAUGUGGAAAUCGGCCACCACAAGUAUCUACACAACUUUGAUGUGAAAACUCAAGUCCUACCUGAGACGGAGCCACGUGCUGCAUCAGAGUGGCCUGGAGAUGACCAUGAAGUGACCAUGUUUGUGAAGCUAGCUGGAAGGAUUGAGCCCUGGCCUGAAAAUAGGGUACAUGGAAGGACUUCAGUGGUUCCUGCAAACUUUACACAUUCGAUUCAAAAUCACACUGUCACCUGCAUCUCAAAGAUGAUGAAAGUCUUCAUCAUUAUCCUAGUCAAUAUCAAAGACAACAUUGUAUAGCACCUUUUUUUAAAAAAAAGAUUUCAUUGUAUUUAA